rnacentral:rRNA from 1 species
UUUCCGGUUGAUCCUGCCAGAGGCCACUGCUAUCGGGGUUUGACUAAGCCAUGCGAGUCGAGAGGUUUCUGACCUCGGCGUACUGCUCAGUAACACGUGGACAAUCUGCCCUGGAGAGGAGGAUAUCCCCGGGAAACUGGGAUUAAUACUCCAUAGUUCGUCUUAACUGGAAUGUUAUUCGAACGAAAGAUCCGUCGCUCCAGGAUGAGUCUGCGGCCGAUUAGGUAGUUGUUGGGGUAACGGCCCAACAAGCCUUUCAUCGGUACGGGUUGUGGGAGCAAGAGCCCGGAGAUGGAUUCUGAGACACGAAUCCAGGCCCUACGGGGCGCAGCAGGCGCGAAAACUUUACCAUGCGGGCAACCGUGAUAAGGAAACCCCGAGUGCCAGCACAGGCUGGCUGUCCGCCAGUUUAAAUAACUGGUGAAGAAAGGGCCGGGCAAGACCGGUGCCAGCCGCCGCGGUAAUACCGGCGGCUCGAGUGGUGGCCGCUAUUACUGGGCUUAAAGGGUCCGUAGCUUGAUAACUGGGUCCCUUGAGAAAUCCGCCAGCUUAACUGGCGGGCGUUCAGGGGAAACUUGUUUUCUAGGGACCGCCAGAGGUGAGGGGUACUGCCGGGGUAGGAGUGAAAUCCUGUAAUCCCGGUGGGACCACCUAUGGCGAAGGCAUCUCACCAGAACGGGUCCGACAGUGAGGGACGAAAGCUGGGGGAGCAAACCGGAUUAGAUACCCGGGUAGUCCCAGCUGUAAACUAUGUGCGUUAGGUGUGUCAGUGACCACGUGUCACUGAGGUGCCGAAGGGAAACCGUGAAACGCACCGCCUGGGGAGUACGGUCGCAAGGCUGAAACUUAAAGGAAUUGGCGGGA